GGCCUCACCCAGCCACCCUGCCGCCAUUAACAGCACUAGGCAGGCAGUGCGCAGAGCUGAGAACUUGCCCCAGGUUACCCGCCUCCCAGCUGCUAAACAAAAGGGAGGCUUUUCAGCUGGUUCAAAUUGUUACAAAGUUCAGCUAGAGAUUUGCUUUUACCUGCGGCGUUUUCCCCAUACCACUGGCUGCCCUCCCGAAGAAUUCCUGUGAUGCCAGGCAGGAAUGGCCUGGUUGGAGACCAGCUAGCUCCCAGGGCCUUUCCCGCUGCUUCCUCUACCCCUGUAUUUCGCUGGGCUCUCUAAAUGGAUUCAGCUCCAGAGGAGGAAAACCUUGAGACCCUGAGACUUUCAGAAACUUAUUCACAGUUACCAAAGCUGAAGCCAACUGUGGGACUUGAGCAUCUGUGGAUUGUGGUAGUUGUGGAGGAGACGGCAGUCCUGGAACCAGUCCCCACCAGACACCGAGAGAUGACUGUAAUUAUAGAACAUUUGUAAGAGUUAAAUUGAAUACUAUAACUUAGAAAAUAUAAGCACUUUAGAAAGGCUAGAUAUUCUUAUUAUUAUCUAAGAAAUUAGUAAGAAAUUAAAGAGCAAUGUUUUGUCAGAUUAUGUAAGACCUUGAAUGUUAGCAUUUAUUUAUAUGACAGCAAUAAAAUUUUCAGCAGAAACGUGGCAUAGUUAUUGUUCUGAUUUUAUUUAUUUAUUUUUAUAGCCAAAUCUUAUUACUGCAAAGAUGAUCUAGAAAAAGCUUACGAGUUUAUUGUGAACAUUCAGUUGAUAAGAAAUUAGCAUUAAUGAUGAUUACAAGAGUGGAUCCUGAUCUGUUUAAAAAUACAUUAUAUGUAUUGAGACAUCAUUAUAUAUGACAGCAACAUGCAUAAGUAUUAUUUGUCAAUUAAGAAAAAUAAAAUUUUUAAAAAGAAUGGAAAUACAAAGAAAAUCAUGUGUAGACCAC